AACCUUUUCAUCCAACCAACAGCAUUCUUGGGGUAUGUUUGUACCAAACCAUCUCCUGUUUUCUCACCAUAAUAUCAGUCCUGACAGCUCCCGAUAUACAUGUGCUAAAUGGCUGCCAAAAUAUUGAAUGGAGCAGAUGUUAAACCUGGCAUCCUCUCUCCUGGUUAGCAUUGUUGGAGAAAGACAAGGAAGAGCCUACACCAGUUCUGGCUGAGCAGAUUCCUGAUCAGCAACCACCUGUGGCACCGUCACCUGAUGAAACUCUGAAUCCUGCACCCGCUGCACCGGUGCUACCAAGACCUUCCCUGGCUGAACCUGUGGUGCUGGCUCCAGCAGGUCUUCAAAAAAGCCAGCUCCUCACAGAUGGGCACCCAACCAUCUUGCAUCUUCCUCACAGAUGGGCACACAACCAAGCUUGCCAAUGUCCAUUGUUUGGGCAGACAGGGUAUAUUGUGGAGCCAGUUCUUUAUGGGAAUAUUUAGCUGUUAGCAAACCCUCAGCCCCCGAGAGUUUGAAUAUUCAUUUGGGUGAAAAUGACUUGGGUAAGCUAAAUGGGGUUUCCUUGCUUCAACAAGCCAUGGCUGAUUUUGCUACAAUUCACUCUUGGAUCCCAGGGUGGCUGGGUGGAUUGGUUUCAGAGAAGAGUGUGGAGCAGGGUACACAAUUUACAAAGGGUGGAAAGGGCCAGGAAGAAAGUGAACACCUCUAUGGGCAGGCACCUGGUCGCAACAGGGGGUAUGUUCAUUUCUCAGCCGAGGAUCAUGCAUCAUUGUCUAGCCUUUAUCGUGCUGAUGGCAUUCACUUAUCUGAAGCAGGGUGUGACAUCUAUUUGGCCAAUCUAUGGCAUGGUCUUGUUGAAGCAUUGGAAGGUGGUGGGAUAGGAAGGCCAAGCUAGGCUGACCUCCCUUUGUGGAAGACACAGUGUGGGUUUGGUGGAGGUAUAGAAGGGUUUGGGUUAAAUGAGCACCCUUGGGUAGUUAGUAAGGGGUUGACUGGUCAAUCAUUCCUCAGAGGCCACAUGGCUCAGAGAUCUUGAUUCACCAUACCUCCUUCAGGGUUUCACAAACCUUGAAGGCUGUGCAGCUUAUUGGGUGGGGCGGGGGUGAAGCUGUAGAAGUGCCCUGACCCUUUGGGGUUGACAAUGAUGGAGAUGAAGCAGGCUACACUGCUCCUAUCCUUGAGUCAGGGUGUGUCACCCAUUCCAGGCUCCGGAAAGGACUCUCAAGUCUGAAACCGGCCAU